rnacentral:rRNA from 1 species
UACGAAGGGGGCUAGCGUUGCUCGGAAUUACUGGGCGUAAAGCGCACGUAGGCGGUCUUUUAAGUCGGGGGUGAAAUCCUGGAGCUCAACUCCAGAACUGCCUUCGAUACUGGAGGACUGGAGACAGGCAGAGGCCAGCGGAAUUCCGGGUGUAGCGGUGGAAUGCGUAGAGAUCCGGAAGAACACCGGAGGCGAAGGCGGCUGGCUGGGCCUGAUCUGACGCUGAGGUGCGAAAGCGUGGGGAGCGAACAGG